AUAUAAAUGAUAUAAAAAAUUUCUGAAAAGGAAAGUCCGACACUAAUUAAGUAUAUAUGCUUAUUAAAUAAGCUUUAUUAAAAAAUAAGGAAUUUAACAGAAACUAAAAAUUAUUAAAAACGUUAAUAUAACGUUUAUAUAUAAUUGCGAACAUUACUCCUAUAUUUAGUAUUAAUUUAGAAUUAUAAAAAUAUUUUUAACAGAAACCGGCUUAAUUAUAUCUUUAUAUUAG
rnacentral:misc_RNA from 1 species